rnacentral:rRNA from 1 species
UACGAGGGGGGCAAAUGUUGUUCGGAAUCACUGGGCGUAAAGGGAGCGUAGGCGGGUGUUUAAGUUAGGUGUUUAAGCCCGGGGCUCAACCCCGGAAUUGCCUUUGAAACUGGAAAACUUGAAUCUUGGAGAGGUCAGUGGAAUUCCGAGUGUAGAGGUGAAAUUCGUAGAUAUUAGGAAGAACACCGGUGGCGAAGGCGGCCCACUGGUCCGGUACUGACGCUGAGGUGCGAAAGCGUGGGGAGCAAACAGG